CAUGUAGGCGGAUUAAUAAGUUUGAAGUGAAAUCCUAUAGCUUAGCUAUAGAACUGCUUUGAAAACUGUUAAUCUAGAAUGUGGGAGAGGUAGAUGGAAUUUCUGGUGUAGGGGUAAAAUCCGUAGAGAUCAGAAGGAAUACCGAUUGCGAAGGCGAUCUACUGGAACAUUAUUGACGCUGAGAUGCGAAAGCGUGGGGAGCAAACA
rnacentral:rRNA from 1 species